UAUAUAUAUAUAUUAAGAUUUGAUAUUAUAUUUAAAUUUGUAUUUUAAAAAUUUAGAUUUAAUAUAAGGUGUUUAGAAAUAUGGAAAACAGAAAUGAUUAUUUCGUUCCGGUUUUCAGCUUCGGCUUUGUGUUUCGGAUUUUUUGUUGGAUUUAGAUUUGGAUAUAAAUUUUAAAUUCGUGGGAGUCGAAUUCAGAUUUGAUAGUCAGGUUCGAGUUCGAAUUUUUGAAACCUAAUUUCGAAUCCGAUCUGUUGACAUCCCAGAGUUUGUAGAUCAAGCUUUGCUACAAAUAGCUCAU
rnacentral:lncRNA from 1 species